UCCAGGCUACGGGGCGCAGCAGUGGGGAAUAUUGGGCAAUGGAGGCAACUCUUACCCAGCAAUGCCGCGUGAAUGAAGAAGGUCUUCGGAUUGUAAAGUUCUUUAAUUGGGGACGAAAAAAAUGACGGUACCCAAGGAAUAAGCCCCGGCUAACUACGUGCCAGCAGCCGCGGUAAUACGUAGGGGGCAAGCGUUGUUCGGAAUGACUGGGCGUAAAGGGGGUGUAGGCGGGGUAGCAAGUUAGAAGUGAA
rnacentral:rRNA from 1 species